rnacentral:rRNA from 1 species
GAUGAACGCUGGCGGCGUGCUUAACACAUGCAAGUCGAACGGUGAACACGGAGCUUGCUCUGUGGGAUCAGUGGCGAACGGGUGAGUAACACGUGAGCAACCUGCCCCUGACUCUGGGAUAAGCGCUGGAAACGGCGUCUAAUACUGGAUAUGUGACGUGACCGCAUGGUCUGCGUUUGGAAAGAUUUUUCGGUUGGGGAUGGGCUCGCGGCCUAUCAGCUUGUUGGUGAGGUAAUGGCUCACCAAGGCGUCGACGGGUAGCCGGCCUGAGAGGGUGACCGGCCCCACUGGGCCUGAGACCCGGCCCAGACCCCUACGGGAGGAAGCAGGGGGGAAUAUUGCACAAGGGGCGCAAGCCUGAUGCAGCAACGCCGCGUGGGGGAGGACGGCCUUCGGGUUGUAAACCUCUUUUGGCAGGAAAGAAGCGAAAGUGACGGUACCUGCAGAAAAAGCGCCGGCUAACUACGU